UGUACUUCAUUACUGGAGACAGCAGCAUCACUGAGCCUCAUCUACCACAGAUUUAGCAUUUGUCUUUUGAUUGCUUUGUGUCAGGCAUGCAGUGUCACCUUCUUGGCAAAGAAAAUACAAGAAGUCCGGGCCCAGUAGAUGUGCUACAUGCUAAGGAGCAGAGCCAGCAGCCAGUUCAAAUGGAAAAGAAGACAUAGUGGCUUCAGGCAAACCCUGCAGGGAGUCCCCACCACCUUCUGCAGCGGGUAACAGGAGUGGCAGACGUUUUGUACUUAUCCUUGACUUUACCAGGCAGUUUGGACAUCUCAGGAUCUGAAAGGUUUGUCUGUUUUGGAGGACCAGGUUAGAUCUGGAUUUUUCAGCUGGGCAUGGCAAUCUGGGUUAAAGGAGGCAUCAGGGUUAUGAGGGUCGCUGAUGCUCGAAGAUCUCUUCAAACAAGAGCAAAGUCACUGGGCUGUAGGUCUGUGCCAGGCUCCGGAUCUGACCCGAUCUGACGGCUAGCGGGGCAAGCAAGGGACGUGCCCACCCACUGCAAAGGGCUGGCCUUGGCUGAUAGGACGUGUUACUGGGACACGCUUCUUCCAAUUCAACGCUCUGCCUCGUGAAACAAGGCUUUGCUGUUGUAGCCUGUGCCUCAACGUGUAGCAUAGUUAAAGCUUCUCCCCCUGACUGUGCCCUGUAAGUAUUUCUGUACUACUGAUAAGGAAAAAAUUAGCUCUUAAAAUACCUACUUGUACGCUAUUCUGUGCUUCCACCCAUUUGGCCUUUCUCUAGUAUUUAUACGUUAAGUACG